rnacentral:rRNA from 1 species
GGGGCUAGCGUUGCUCGGAAUCACUGGGCGUAAAGCGCACGUAGGCGGCUCUUUAAGUCAGGGGUGAAAUCCUGGAGCUCAACUCCAGAACUGCCCUUGAUACUGAGGAGCUUGAGUCCGGGAGAGGUGAGUGGAACUGCGAGUGUAGAGGUGAAAUUCGUAGAUAUUCGCAAGAACACCAGUGGCGAAGGCGGCUCACUGGCCCGGUACUGACGCUGAGGUGCGAAAGCGUGGGGAGCAAACAGG